rnacentral:rRNA from 1 species
UACGUAGGGUGCGAGCGUUAAUCGGAAUUACUGGGCGUAAAGCGUGCGCAGGCGGUUUUGUAAGCCAGAUGUGAAAGCCCCGGGCUUAACCUGGGAAUGGCAUUUGGGACUGCAAGGCUUGAGUGCGGCAGAGGAGACUGGAAUUCCUGGUGUAGCAGUGAAAUGCGUAGAUAUCAGGAGGAAUACCGAUGGCGAAGGCAGGUCUCUGGGCUGACACUGACGCUCAUGCGACGAAAGGCGUGGGGAGCAAAC